GCGGGUGUGGCGAAAUUGGCAGACGCGUCAGUCUUAGAAGCUGAUACCAACCGGUGUGUAGGUUCAAGUCCUAUCACCCGCACCA
rnacentral:tRNA from 1 species